GGCAGGCCUAACACAUGCAAGUCGAACGGGUNCUUCGGGAUUAGUGGCNNNCGGGUGAGUAACACGUGGGAACGUGCCCUUUGGUUCGGAACAACUCAGGGAAACUUGAGCUAAUACCGGAUGUGCCCUUCGGGGGAAAGAUUUAUCGCCAUUGGANCGGCCCGCGUCUGAUUAGCUAGUUGGUGAGGUAAAGGCUCACCAAGGCGACGAUCAGUAGCUGGUCUGAGAGGAUGAUCAGCCACAUUGGGACUGAGACNCGGNCCNAACUNCNACNGGAGGCNNCANUGGGNAAUCUUGCGCAAUGGGNGAAAGCCNGACGCAGCCNUGCCGCGUGAAUGAUGAAGGUCUUAGGAUUGUAAAAUUCUUUCACCGGGGACGAUA
rnacentral:rRNA from 1 species